GUUGCGAUGGCCGAGUGGUCUAAGGCGCAAGAUUAAGGCUCUUGUCUUCAUUGGCGGGGGUUCAAAUCCCCCUCGCAACA
rnacentral:tRNA from 1 species